AGCUUAGCCAUCUAAUUUUUUAGCAUGCAUUGGAAUCCUCAGAAUUUUUGGUUGAAUAAGAAUGAAUUUUAAAAGUCUCCACUUCUUCUGUGGUUGAAGGAAAGGAGCUCCCCACGAGAAGUUCAAGUGAAAAUGCCAAAGUGACCAGCCUGGACAGCAGCUCCCAUAGAAUCAUCGCAGUUCACUAUGUACUAGAGGAGAGCAGCGGCUACAUGGAGCCCACGUUGCGUAUCUUAGCUAUUCUGCACACGGUCAUUUCUUUCUUCUGCAUCAUUGGAUACUACUGCUUGAAAGUCCCAUUGGUUAUUUUUAAGCGAGAAAAGGAAGUGGCACGGAAAUUGGAAUUUGAUGGGCUUUAUAUUACAGAACAGCCUUCAGAAGAUGAUAUUAAAGGCCAGUGGGAUAGACUCGUAAUCAACACACAGUCAUUUCCCAACAACUACUGGGACAAAUUUGUUAAAAGAAAGGUUAUGGAUAAGUAUGGAGAGUUCUACGGCCGAGACAGAAUCAGUGAAUUACUUGGCAUGGACAAGGCAGCUCUGGACUUCAGUGAUGCCAGAGAAAAGAAGAAGCCAAAGAAAGACAGCUCCUUAUCAGCUGUACUGAACUCCAUUGAUGUGAAGUAUCAGAUGUGGAAACUAGGAGUCGUUUUCACUGACAAUUCCUUCCUCUACCUAGCCUGGUAUAUGACUAUGUCUGUUCUUGGACACUAUAACAACUUUUUUUUUGCCGCUCACCUUCUCGACAUUGCUAUGGGAUUCAAGACAUUAAGAACCAUCUUGUCCUCAGUAACUCACAAUGGCAAACAGCUCGUAUUAACCGUUGGCUUAUUAGCUGUUGUUGUAUACCUAUACACUGUGGUGGCAUUCAAUUUUUUCCGAAAAUUCUACAAUAAAAGUGAAGAUGGUGAUACGCCAGAUAUGAAAUGUGACGAUAUGCUAACAUGCUAUAUGUUCCACAUGUAUGUUGGAGUUCGUGCAGGAGGAGGGAUCGGGGAUGAAAUCGAAGACCCAGCAGGCGAUGAAUAUGAGAUCUAUCGAAUCAUCUUUGACAUCACUUUCUUCUUCUUUGUUAUUGUCAUUCUCUUGGCCAUAAUACAAGGUCUAAUUAUCGAUGCUUUUGGAGAACUAAGAGACCAACAGGAACAAGUCAAAGAAGACAUGGAGGUUUUUUCUGAUGUAUCUUAUAAACAAAGAUGAAACAGAACACACAGGACAGGAAUCUUAUGUCUGGAAGAUGUAUCAAGAAAGGUGUUGGGAAUUUUUCCCAGCAGGGGAUUGCUUCCGGAAACAGUAUGAAGACCAGCUAAAUUAAACUCAGACCCCAAUCACCUCUAAAAACCAAAACCCUACCCCUCUCUCUCCCUCUCUCAAUUUCUCUGCUCUCUUGGAAACAUUUUGCUGAUUUUGUGAAUUGCCAGCGUUGU
rnacentral:sRNA from 1 species